GGGGGCGACUGGUUUCGACAUGGUGGGUUUGAAGUAGGGAGCAGGCCGUGGUCUCCUCGCCACGUUAAACAGGGGUACCGUCAAUUUAAUUGGCAAGAAUCCUAAACUCGCCCUCGCCGCCUAAUCAGGCCUUGGGCUGUCAACCCCGGGAGCUUCCCCGGCCCGGGUGCGACAUCAUUUCAGGGGAAUGCUCUUCGGCACGUAGCCGGUAUGGCCGGAGAAAAGAAAGAACCGACUAGGAGGCGGCCUCGCCUGUCAGGUGUGCCGGGCGCCGCUGAGACCUGAACACUGACUAAGCUUGUAGCGCCUUAUGGAAAAUCCAGUAUGGACCGGAGUUCGAUUCUCCGCGCCUCCACCA
rnacentral:tmRNA from 1 species